rnacentral:SRP_RNA from 1 species
GCCGGGCGUUGUGGCGAGCGCUUGUAAUCCAAGUGACUGGGAGGCUUGGUACGGUGGAUGGAGUGAGAGAAGGGGCCCUGGUUGGUGCUUGGCGAUGACGACCGAGCGUCCAGGCUAAGCGUGGCGUCAAUAAGGUUACAUAUCGGGAACGUCAUGUGACCUGGUUGAACAAUGAGGGGCGUACGGCUCAGGGCCGAAAGGCAGCAGGCAAAAGUCCCCGCGUCAUGACAGUGGCCGGAUAGCGCUUGCGAGUCGUCAACACCAUUCAGCCUUCUCAAUACCUUCAGACCCGCUCCUUA